GGUGGAGGGAGCAGCAGUAAUGUUUGGAGCUAUUUAACAGCAGGAGUUGUUUCGCUUAACGUUGCAGCAAAUAUUGUAAACAAUGCGAAUGAAAACAACAACAACAACAACAACAAUAACAACCAGGAUAACACAAACAAUAACAACCAGAACUUUGGAAACAGUGCCAAUGGAAAUACGAACAUGAAUAUGAUAAUCCCUGGUCGAAAAUUUCAAGAAAAAUUAGAAUUCACGAGUAAGACACUAGAGUCCUUGGAAAAUACAUUGAUAUACCUCUCCUGCAAACUAACGGAG